GACGAACGCUGGCGGCGUGCCUAAUACAUGCAAGUCGAACGCAGUGGGGACGGGUGAGUAACACGUGGGUAACCUCCCAUCAGAGGGGAUAAAACUUGGAAAAAGGUGCUAAACCGAUAUUGGUGGAUCGACCCGCGGUGCAUUAGCUAGUUGGAGAGGUAAUGGCUCACCAAGGCCAAGAUGCAUAGCCGGCCUGAGAGGGUGAUCAGCCACACUGGGACUGAGACACGGCCCAGACUCCUACGGGAGGCAGCAGUGGGGAAUCUUCCGCAAUGGGCGAAAGUCUGACCGAGCAACGCCGCGUGAAUGAAGAAGGUUUUCGGAUCGUAAAGCACUGUUGGUGGGGAAGCGGUAUCUAACGAGAAAGCCACGGCUAACUACGUGCCAGCAGCCGCGGUAAUAC
rnacentral:rRNA from 1 species